GACGAACGCUGGCGGCGUGCCUAAUACAUGCAAGUCGAACGAGAGCGCCCGGUGCUUGCACUGGUCAAUCUAGUGGCGAACGGGUGAGUAACACGUGGGUAACCUGCCCAUCAGAGGGGGAUAACAUCCGGAAACGGAUGCUAAAACCGCAUAGGUCUUCGAACCGCAUGGUUUGAAGAGGAAAAGAGGCGCAAGCUUCUGCUGAUGGAUGGACCCGCGGUGCAUUAGCUAGUUGGUGAGGUAACGGCUCACCAAGGCCGUGAUGCAUAGCCGACCUGAGAGGGUGAUCGGCCACAUUGGGACUGAGACACGGCCCAAACUCCUACGGGAGGCAGCAGUAGGGAAUCUUCCGCAAUGGACGCAAGUCUGACGGAGCAACGCCGCGUGAGUGAAGAAGGUUUUCGGAUCGUAAAACUCUGUUGUUAGAGAAGAACAAGUGCUAGAGUAACUGUUAGCGCCCUGACGGUAUCUAACCAGAAAGCCACGGCUAACUACGUG
rnacentral:rRNA from 1 species